rnacentral:lncRNA from 1 species
UUUCACUUUUCCGUGGAAAGACCUAUUGGUUUUCUUCUGAUUAUUAUUAUUAGGUCUUUCAACCUUUCAGGUGAAAGACCUAUUGUUUUUGUUCUGAUUAUUAUUAGGUCUUUCAACCUUUCUGUUGAAAGACCUAUUGUAUUCGUUCUGAUUAUUAUUAUUAUUAUUAUUAUUAUUAGGUCUUUCCACUUUUCCGUGGAAAGACCUAUUGGAUUUCUUCUGAUUAUUAUUAUUAUUUUUUUUUUUUUUUUCUUCCGCCUAAUUUGUUUCCUUCGCUGUUUUUUUGUUUCGCAAGAUGUCGCUUAGAUUUUUGAAUAUUGAUAUCGAACAUUU